UCUCACAUCAAGGGAGCCUGAUUGGCCAUUUCGGUCGGUGGCUCUGCUAGGCGUGCUCCUCUAAGAGCACGAGAGGGAGUAAGGGGGGAGCAUUCGACUCCCCUUGUGUUGUCCGUCCCGACCCCGAGCGAGAGGAAGAGGGGGAGCACGGCAGAGAGCCUUUUUGCUCUCUGAUUCUGCGUCCGUCCCAGCCAAAGUGGAAGGGGAAGGGGGAGCAUUCGGCUCCCCCGUUUGUUCCGUCCCAGACAGAGCAUGGGAGGGAGAGGGGGAGCGAUCGGCUCCCCCAAUUUUUUUGUUCCUGCUGUUCGUCCGUCCCAGGCGAAGCAAAGGAAGGAGAGGGAGAGCCGUUCAGCUCUCCCGUUUCCGUCUGUCCGUCUCACAUCAGGCGGAAGGAAGAGGACGACCAAGGCCUCUUGCGUGCGUCCCAGCCAAAAGGAAGACCGGCCAACUGCUGUCUCCCCCCCUUCUUUGGACUGAAGGGAGUUCUCUCUUGCUACUAUCACCUUGUUUUCUUCAAUUGGAGAGCAAAAAUCCAUUCUUGCUGCUUUUGUUGAGCUUCUCUUCCAAAACCUAGGGCAAAGGCAUGCUGAAAUCAGCCUUUGCUGCAGCUAAGAAGUGGUAGGAAGCUUCCCCUUCCUUCCAAACCAACUCCGGCGACCAUUUGACGAAGAAAUCAGCCUCCGGAUGCCUCCAAACGGCAGAAACUGCUGUCCGGUGCAGUUUUGACAGCUAAUCCUCUCUCCGGAAAAGUUUGGACAGCGGCGGUGACGUCCGGAGAGGCUUGGACAGCAAUCACGCAGCCUCCGAAGGCUUCAAAACAGUGAAAACUGCUGUUCCGAAGCUUUGGACAGCAAACGACGACCUUGGGAAGCUCUCAAACAGUGAAAUUCUCUGUUUGGAACGUUGGAACAGCGGUCUUCCUCCUUGGGAAGGCCUUGGACAGCAGUUUGGAGCUUUCAAAGGACUUGGACAGCAAGCCGGAACUUGGAUAGGAGCGCUAGGACAACCCGGGUGAGGUGGCCAUAUCUAAAAUGGGGGGCGCUCAUAAAUGAUAAAAUGCUUGCAUGACAGGUUUGAGUCUCUUUUCUUUUCAAACAUGUAUUUGAUAGAAUUGUAAUUGUAUCAAACUUGCGGGGGUUUGGAGCAAAAAGAAUGAAGUGGACUAGAAGGAUGUACCUGUCAAAGGUGAAGCCCA